rnacentral:rRNA from 1 species
UGAGAAAUUAACGAUUUAAGUCCUUCUUAAAUGAGGCCAUUUACCCAAAGAGGGUGCCAGGCCCGUAUAACGUUAAUGAUUACUAGAUGGCAUUUCCAAAGAGUCGUGUUGCUUGAUAGUGCAGCACUAAGUGGGUGGUAAACUCCAUCUAAAACUAAAUAUAACCAUGAGACCGAUAGUAAACAAGUACCGUGAGGGAAAGUUGAAAAGAACUCUGAAUAGAGAGUUAAAUAGUACGUGAAACUGCUUAGAGGUUAAGCCCGAUGAACCUGAAUAUCCUUUAUGGAAAAUUCAUCAUUAUGAUUUUAAUAUUAAUAAUAUUAUAAUAAUGGUGUGCAUUUUUUCCAUAUAUGGACAUUGUAAUCUAUUAAUAUCAAAAUUAAUAUUUAUCAUAAGAUCAUUGGCUUUUAGUUUAUUCGAAUUAUUUUGCUUGCAUUUUAACAUAGAAUAAUGGCUUUUGAUUUGAUAAAGUGUUGAUAGAUUUAUUAUAUAUAGUGCUUGAAUAUUUAUAUUCUAUAAUGGCAUAUUGAUCAUUGAUCUUUGUGUUUUAAUUAUAUGCACUUAUAUGAUUAACAAUGCGAAAGAUUCAGGAUACCUUCGGGACCCGUCUUGAAACACGGACCAAGGAGUCUAACAUAUUUGCAAGUUAUUGGGAAUUAAAAACCUAAUAGCGAAAUUAACAUAACUUAUAUAAUGGGAUUAGUUUUUAGUACUAUUUAUAGUCUAUUAAUUCAAUCCCGGGGCGUUCUAUACAGUUAUGUAUAAUAAUAUUUAUAUUAUUUAUACCUCUAACUAGAGCGUACCUUGAGCAUAUAUGCUGUGACCCGAAAGAUGGUGAACUAUAC